rnacentral:tRNA from 2 species
GGCGCUUUAGCUCAGUCGGUAGAGCAACGGACUGAAAAUCCGUGUGUCCCCAGUUCGAUUCUGGGAGGCGCCACCA